GUCAGCCGGGUCUGAUGCGGCGCGGGCAGGCUACUUGGGAAGAUGGCGUUUGCCAUCAAGGUCACAUGGCCACUUUAGGGGAUUAAACGAAAUACUGGUGAGAAAGAUAAGAACAGCUAUCUAAGGAUUCAGAUUUUCGGAAGCAGUCUCGAAUCCAAAAUUUCGUUUGCCUAUUAGACUCAUAAGCACACAGGUUGCCCUGACACAAAAGGACUCGGUUGGGUGCCCUGUCCAUUGCACCAGACCACAGUGGAGGACUGUCUUUGGCCUUGGACACCACACAAGAACAGGGGCAUUAGCAACCUGGAGCACGCACAAAAGACAGAGACCAGGAGUGUGAGGGGACUUUAGGAUCAUCGUAUAUGAACCUGGAGAAGGGAUCAAAAAGGGGAUGGUGGUGGUUUAGGAUCAAGUUUUCAAAUAUUGGAAGCUUCAUCAUGUAGAAGGAGACAUCUCGUUUUGCUCUAUAAGAGGGACAAAGGGCAUGUGCUCUGGGAAAACAUAUUUUGACUCAGCCUAAGGAAGAACUUUAUGAUGGUUCAAGAUGACCAAAUAUUAUGCAAUGGUUGGCUUUGAAAGGACAAGAUAUCCCCAUCACUGGAGGUAUUUAAACAGAGACAAGAUAACUAUUUGGCAAAGAAGUUGCAGAGGGAAUCAAGCAUCAGAUCAUAAGGGCAAGGAAUUAGGCAACCAUUAAGUCGGCUUCUGACACUGUAAUUUGGGGAUUCAAGUCAGGGGUAGGGGUGGGGGCCAGAGGUGGAAAUAUUUGUGGCCCUCAAAGUAGGUACCUCUCAACCAGUUAUUAUCUCUGCUUCCAGCCUGCCCUGCACAGAGGCUCCAGAAAUAUUUUUCUGAAUACUUUAUCAUGAGACGUUCCAGCUCACGUAUCAUAGAAUCCUAGUAAAGCUAGAGGUCAUCGGGCACAGCCUUUAUCAGAUGCUUUCUUUACCUUUGAAUCACCCACAUGGAGUGAUUGUCCAGUCACUGCUUGAACAUCUCUGGUGAUGGCGAGCUGCCUACCAUUUGGGGUAGUCCAUUCUAAUUUUAGAGAGUAUUACUAAUCAUUAGAAAGUUCUCCCUAAACACAGUGAAAUGCUUAUAUCAGGAUGUUGGGAUUAAGAAUUUUUUUCUUCUCUGUUUUUGAAACUGUCAGUAAUAAAUUUUAAAAGGACUUCAAGAGGCUGGAAUCAUGAGCCGAAACUUUUAUUAUCAUGUUUUCAUUAUAAAAAAAAGAAAAAAAGCCUCUUCCUUCUGUUGAAUCAAAAUCUGCUUUCUUGUAACUUCCGUUAGAUCGCAGAGCCCUUGGAGUCAUACACAGAAUAAAUCUACAGCUUCCUCUUCACCAUGAGCCCAGUAAUGAUUCGCUGACAAUAGACAAGUUUCUCUGGGGAUUUGCUAGUCCCCUCACUAUUCUCACCACUCUCUCUCUGGCUGUACUUUUGUUGACUUGUCCCUUGAAGUGUGAUGCCUGCAUUGAAUAGAGGGCCUCAGGUGUGGUCUGACCGGUGCAGAGUAGCACAAGAUGAUCACCCCCUUUACUCUGGAUGUUAUACUCUUAUUAAUAAGCCCAAGGUCACAGUACUUUGUGUCACAACCAAACCAUGCUUUUGACACAUGGAUCAUGAUGAACUUUCAUUUAUUCUAAAACCUUCUGAGCCACAUUUCUCACUUCCUACUGUUGUACUGUUACAUUUUGGAAUUCAAAUAGGUGACCUCAUGUUUGUCCCUGUACACUUUGAUUUUGCUAUAGCGAGUCCAUCAUACCAGCCUCUUGACAUCCCUAUGAAUUCUUAUUAUGUCAUCUCACAUUUUGGCUCUCUCUCCCAGCUAUGUGCAAUUUUCAAAUUUGAUCUAGUGACAUUAAAACAGAAA